UCAGGAAUAGUAAGAAAAGGGGGUUGGGA
rnacentral:piRNA from 1 species